rnacentral:lncRNA from 1 species
GGUUAAAAGCGCAAUUUACCCCUCCGUAUAAAAAACACGCGGAUCCCCCUGGAUCGAGCCGGGUCGGUCCGAUCCAUGGCAAAACGACGUCGUUUUGGGCGUUUUGGAGCUGGGCCAAAAUGGCGCCGUUUCAUGGGCCUAUAUAAGCCAAUAAUUUUCCAAAAAAAAAAUUCAUUUUCUUCCCCCUUUAAAAAAAACAAAAAACCAAAAAUGCUCUAUCUUCUCUCCUUCUUCUC